GGGGAGGAGAUACAGUGAUAGGUCCGCAUACAUACAUGUACACACUAGGGGAUGUGAACCAGAUGUUGACGACUCUACACACACACUGACUCACUGACAGCCACAAGUCUCUGGGACAACCUUUUAAAACGUUUUACUCGGCCCUCCCCAGGGUUGUACAUGUGUGUCCCUGUAGUGGAAAAAGUGUCCACAGGUCAGGUGUGGUGUCCUACAGGUGUGCUUUAGACAGGUGUGGUGGCAAUUCCACAGGUGUGUUAACGGGGAGUAUGUGACCGUGGAAGGAUACAAGAUCUGGAGGAUGAAAGGGGAAUAGAAGAAGAUGGCGACCGGGCAUACCAUUGUGUGAUGUCUCCAGUGUGUUGUAUAUAGGGGGAAAUUAUUAGGGGAGGGUUUUAACCUCAUUAAGCAUGCUGAAGCAUUUCUGUGUGAAUAUGUCUACUACCGGUGUUUCUAUCAAAACGUGGAUCUUUAAAAUGAUGUUUUGUGUGUAAUUUCUUUCAAUGCGUGGAUCUUUUUGGAAGUUUUAUCAAUCUUGGUGGUUUUAUUUUAAAAACAUUUUAUCAAAACCAGGAUCUGUAAAAGAAAUCUCAACGAGUGGAAAAUGAAAAUCAUGUGUUUGUUUAAGUGUUUUCCCGGAAUGUAGUCGUGAAUCAUUCAGUUAUAAUAUAUAUUUGUGGUGAGUUUCUCAAAGUGGUGUCUAUCUAUACUACGGAAGUUAAUGAUUGGUGGCGUGAUAUUUUUUAUCAUAUCGUGAGAGUAUGCCGCUGGGAAAAAAAUGGCGGUCCAUGGAAGUCCUCAAUUUUGGGUCCAGGGCUAUGGGGCCCCUGGAAAGUUUUCUCAAUUCAAGAAAUAAGUCUGGAUCGAGGGAAAACCUACGUGCCUCUGCGUCGCAAUCGGGUUCCCGGGAAAGCUUGAAUUUAGACCAUAAUCACAAUCGGCACCAACCGUCGCAAAGCCGAAGUCUGCGCAGCAGACUUGGUAGUCUAAGUAACAAUGUGAGGGAAGAACAGGGGUCUCCCAAACUGAAGGACACCGGGGCCGCUGGGGAUACACCAGCUGGCUACAUACAGCGCUGUAUCAUCAUACAGCGUGAUGAGAAGGGAUAUGGCUUUACAGUAAGGGGAGACAACCCUGUAUAUGUGGAGGUCGUCAAGCUCGAUGGGGCUGCGGCCAAAGCAGGAGUUCAGCAAGGGGACCGUAUUAUCAAGGUCAAUGGUACUCUUGUGACGAACUCUAACCACCUGGAAGUAGUCAAACUCAUUAAAGCGGGAUCCUUUGUGGCCUUGACCUUGCUGAACAAACCCGCGGGUGGGGUUAAUCUCCGAGGCCCGUCCAAGGAAAUUGUCUCGGCCCCUCAGUCUGUCAAUGCCCAUAAAAGCUGGGAGUUGAAGCAGUCCAAGGUGCUGGAAUUACAUAAAUACUAUGAGCUUGCAGUAGAAGAACUAGAGAAAUUUAAGAAGGGAUACCAAAAGUGCCCGACAGAGAAGUCCCACGCACAACUGUUAGAGAAGGAAAAAACUGUAAAGACUUUGAGGGACCAAGUGGAAGUGAUAGCCUCCACGCUACCAGCCGAAUAUAGUUUGCCGUUAUCCCUGGGCGAGACUUCGUCACCUGAUACAGGUUCAGGAGAGGCCACACCAUGGCUGAAAGGUGGGCCCAAACAUAUGAAAACAGGGUCCACGCCGGUUGCAGUUUACGCCAGUGAGGAGCUGCCAGCCGAUACCCGAGCUGGGGUUUCGCGGUCCCAGUCCGACGCAGGAUCUCGGAACCGAGAUCCAGUUAUUCUAAAGACUGGGUCGCGCCCAGGUGUCAGCCCUGAGCGAGUUAUGGCGAGUACCAAACGACGGAUGUUUAAUAAGAUAAAGAAGUCUUCGUCGUUGCCCAGCAGUGCAGUUGAUGGUGGUAGUUUCUCCGACUCACCGUCGCACAGUCCAAACGCGUCGCCCACACCAACACAUCCCGCCAACUCCCGCCUCGUAGAGGAGACCACAAAUGUAGAUGAUCCAACUGUGAACCCCAGCAAAGCUGACCGACCUCAGCAGUUUAUCAUAGCCAUGGAGGACGAUGAGUUCCAAUCCGAUGAGGAACAUGCACAGCUGUCGUUGGAGAGGAAGACCUCCCAACCUGUUGUGUCCUCAUUCCUCGCCCGACUACAGACUCUCGAGACAGACGAUCACGGUCCAUUUAACAGUCUACGACAGUUGGACAACAAGCCAGCCCACACAGCCAUCUUCCUCAACUUCCUCCUGGUGGAGAACCAUGACCCUUCUGCUUUUUUAUUCUAUGUAACGGUCAGUUUGUAUAAUACUGCCAAGGGCGGCCUCCAGGACUGGAAGAAAUGGGCAUAUGAAAUUUACUCUACGUUUCUAGUCGAAGGAGCCCCCCUGAGACUAAACAUUAACGAGGAGAUUGGAUUAGGAGUGAAAGUAGUCCUGGAGAGAUUGGAACAAGAAGAAGGCAUGAAAGCCCUCUUCCUCACCGCGCACCAGGCAGUUGUCGACGAAAUCGAGUCACAACUCACUAUGUUUAGACAAAAGAAAGACAUGGGUAUGGGUAACAUGUUUGGUGCUCACGAAGUGAGAGACAGCAUGAAGAAACGAGAGGAAAUGGAAGUAAUAGAAAAAUACCUGUUAAGACACCUGGAAAAGACGUUGACGCAAACUGAUACGGAUAUUAAGAAUGACCGAGAGCAGGCUGUGUGCUGGGCGCUAUCAACAUUCCUCCGCUACGUGGGCUACAACAAACAUAAUUCCAGUCUAGACAAGGUGCCCAGCUUCGUCUGUCGGGACAGGAAAGGCAUCCGCCACUCCAGUAAACCUACUAAACGGCCACAUAGAGGCCAUAACUUUGAGCCGACCCAUUACAUCAAGGUAGAGACGUGUAUGUAUUGUAAAACUGUGAUAUGGGGCGUCGGCUACCAGGGCUACUUGUGUAAAAAUUGUGAACAAAAUAUACAUACACGGUGUAUAGAACGAUUAGAAGACAACUGUAAAAAGAAAGAUAAAGAUAAUAAGAGACCGCUAUCUAAUAUAUUCAAAGGAAAAGGUGACAUACGAAAAAGUGUUUUGCCAGAGAUAGUCCUCUCAGGCCAAACAAUAAAGGAGACUGAAAUUUCGGGCAGCCCAGGGCCGCAGGUCACCACUAGCUUUGAAAUACAGCCAGUCAAGGAUGAGGAUGACCCUGAUCUGCAUAAAAUCCGAAGUGAUCCCCACUCAGUGAGCAAGCUGGUGAACCAGUUUGACCAGCUAGUACCCUCACCCUCAGACAAACGCCGGCCACAGAACCAGCUGUCCGAGCCAGAAAUGCACAGGAAAGGUACAGAUUUAGGGCGAUCGGAAAGUCUGAAAGGCCGGGCUGACGGCCGGGGAGAUCGACCAACCCGUGACCGACAACGUGCAAAAAGCGACCUAGAUAUGGACGACGCCAUUAAGGCUCUACACAACAACUCUGGCAGUUCAUCAACAUCAAGUCUUUCAAAUAGGAGUGUUGACAGCCCGAGUAAUUCGCUGGAUGCGGUCAACAACAUCCCACAGUCCCUUCAGGACGAUGACUCGGACUAUGAUGUAGAACAAGAGCUGCCCACUCUGAAGUCAGUCCUUCCUGAGGAUGUGUAUCGUCGACUCAAACCCAAGGAACGCAAGCGACAGGACGUAAUUAACGAAUUAGUUUAUACUGAAAAACGCCAUGUACGGAACUUAAAGAUAAUGGAGAGUUUAUUUCAAAAGCCUAUGGUCCAGGACCCUAAUAUCUCAGAGGAAUUUACCAAGCUGCUGUUCCCAAACUUGGACUAUAUGAUCCAGCUCCACUGUGCAUUGAAUAAUGAUUUAAAGGCAAAAAGGAGAGAAAACAAGGUUAUUGAUGAAGUCAGUGAAGUGUUAUUAAAAAGGUUUGACAAUGAAGAAGGGGAAGCAUUCCGUAAAAAUUGUGCCAUAUUUUGUCGAAACCAGCAACAUGCGCUGGACAUGCUCAGGUCAAAACAAAAGAAAGAUGCACGGAUAUCAACGUUUUUAGGGGAGGCUGAGAGCAGUAACCUAAUGCGUCGGCUGCAGCUAAAGGAUCUCAUCCCCACACAGAUGAUGAGGCUGACCAAGUAUCCCCUACUAAUAGAAAGUCUCAAGAAACACACACUCUUGGGGUCCGAGGAACACACAAAGCUGGAGCGGGCACUCCAGUGCAGCAAGCACAUCCUGGAGUAUGUAAAUCAGGCCGUCCAGGACUACGAGAACAUCUACAGACUGGAACAGCUACAACGGCGUAUGGAGAGGAAAAUCCUCACCGAUUACAUGGCGGAAGAACUCAAGACCCUGGACCUUCGAGCUCACAAGCUGGUGCAUGAGGGCCCGCUCACCUGGAACAUGAACCAGCGGAAGAGUCUGGACGUUCAUGUAAUUCUCCUAGAGGACCUCUUCGUACUCUUACAGAAACAAGACGACAAGCUUGUCCUCAAGUGUCAGAGCACACAACUGGUGGCAGGGAAGGAGGAUGGCUACAAAUACAUGUUCGCUCCCGUCCUCAAACUCAACAACAUCCUCCACACCAACAGCAAAGCUACAGAUAAGAAGGCAUUCUUUGUGGUGUCCAAGUCACAGAUCUACGAGCUGUCGGCUCACACGGCCGAUGAACAACGCAAGUGGUGUAAGUACAUUAAGGAUGCAGCUGAUGCCUUCAAAGAUAAGCACAUCAAGGCGACGGUGACUGAUGUGGCCAACGCGCAGCCGGAGGUUAUCAGUCAAGAGCGUGACACACUACGGGUAGAAAACCGAAGGACGAGCGGUUCGAGUACAGGUGGUGAGUUCAUGGCAGAGCAGGUUGAACUGUCGGAGGAACCUGGUCUCAUUCAACCUGAAGAUAUGGUCAUUAAGGAUGCUGUCACAUCUAAAGCCUCACCAGUCCUCACUCCGCUAGACAAGCUUCGAGUGCUGGACACCGACAUCAUGGAGAAGAUGAAGGACCGCCGAGCCCUGCUUAAGGAGAUACUUAAACUUCACGAGAUGGACAGUACACUGCGAAUGCAGUUGAAUACAGAUACUGAUCAACCAAUAAACGACCUUCUACUGGACAUGGCCCAGGAGUCGGAGGACUGUAUCAAUAUGUUAAACAGUGCUGAAUCUGGUCUAGCCAAGGAGGACCUGUCCAUGCCAAUACCCAUGGAUAAACUGAGGGAGAUGGCCAACAGGAUGAACCAGAUCCUCACCAACCUGCUGGAAAAGACGAGGGCGUACUCUGCCCUGACUGCGGGACAACCCGCUUCCUCCUCCUCCUCCUCCUCAGCGGUGGUCAACAACCGUGACGAUGAGCGAGAACGACUGCGACAUGAAUUAAAGGCUGCGCAGGAUGAGCUGAACAUGCUGCGGGAAAUCCAGCGACGCGUGUCGUCCUCGUCGCCCACUGAUGUCACGCUUAACAGACCCCACAGUAUUAUCUCGGUGGCCUCGACUGUAUCAGAUGCUGCAGAAGAUGGAACACUCACACAAGUAGACUCUACUGAUACUGACACAGAAGUAACCAAGGAGGAAUUAGUUGAGCUUCAAAAUGUGGAACCAGUCAAUGCCAUGGAGAUGGACUUCCCUGAGGCUGACAGUGUUUCCACGGCAACAGAACUGCCACAGGAGAUGGUGGACAUCAUGGCAGACAACUUGGUGGUAGCGGAGCCACCCGAUUAUGAGGCAGUUGAUGACCGGGACCCACCAGCUCUGACAGAGGAGGAGAUUCUUCCUUCUGGUGACAGCCAGGAUGGGGCAGUACAUCGAGUGGUCGAAGUAGUUGCGGAGGAGAUCACGGAGAUCGUGGAAGACCUGAUUCAGGAACUUCCUGUGGUGGAGAGUAACGGUGAUGUGACAGAUGGUCGCCGUGAUAGUCUAGAAGACUAUGAGGACGCUAGUGACCGCCUCGAUACAGAGGGUGGUGCAGGACGGGAAAGUGGACUGGAGGAGGACAUGGUAGUGAGCUCCGAUAGGGGAGAUAACCUCACUGAGAGUAGUGAGAAAGGAGAUAAUCUAACGGAAAGUGAUGUAGAGAUGCGUGAUGUGGAGGGGGAGGAGGUGGAGAAACGGGACACUGAGAGGGAAUGUAAUAGUGACACUGACAAUAAAACGACACAAAGUGACCAUAUUCUCUCCACCACGGAUCAUACUGUUGUCGACAACCGGCAGCUCAUAGACAGUUCGUGUGUACUGGACAACAAGCCUGACCUCGACCGUCUGACGGUGGAAGGUGGCGCCGCCCUGGAGGAAAUGACUGUAGAUAUCUAGUGACCUGUAUAAUCCAUAUCUCACAUGUCGUAGACGAUGUGUUCACGGGUCUGGCUGUACCAGCUUCACAGGUGUGGCCAUAGCUUAGUUAAUACAGGUGUGGUCACUGGUCACUUUGUACAGGUGUGGUCACUGGUCACUGGUCACUUUGUACAGGUGUGGUCACUGGUCACUGGUCACUUUGUACAGGUGUGGUCACUGCACCUGGUAUCUCUGUCUGGUGUAAAGAAGUUCUACAAGUAAGGCUUGUGCAUUGAACAUGUAUAACUUAUACAGGUCAUAGUACAGAUAGUACCCAGGUGUACCCAGGUUUACCCAGAGAUCAGAUGUACCUUCUGUGGGUGUCGUAGUUCUGAGUGUACACAAAUAUGCCCAGUGUAUGCAGUCGCUCCUAGGAACUGGUUGUACAAUGGAAAAUGGAGUGCCACCUGUAGGUACCUUACCUUACAAUGCCACAUGGUGUACCCACUGCUUAGGUACACCUCCUGUAGGUAACCCGGGGCACUGUUUACAAUGCCACAUUAGUUAUCCAAGGGUACUAUUUAUGAUUCCACAUAUUGUAUCCAGGGGAGCUGUUUACGCUGCCACAUUGUACCCAGGGAAGUUGUUGACCACCUGUACAAGCUUUACGUACCAAUGCCCGUGGUAUAUGCAGCCAUGUUGUGUAUCUCCUGUACGAGCUGUGAUGUCCCAGGGACACGGUUUAUCCGGUGUACAAGUCAGCCUUGUACGUUGUUUUAGUCAGUGUGCUGUUAUAGCUAUUAGUCGUCAUACAGGAAUUUUUAAUGCAAUAUUCUUCCGUGUAUAACUAUAGAAUGUGAUACAUACACUGUGGGAUGAGUUUUAUCGAUCGUGACCAGCUUCUAAUGGACAUCUCUACCGAUGAAUAUUCAUGAUGCCGUGAAAUGUUCCAAUCACAAGUGUCUACCAGCCUUUGUUUAUGCAAAUCUUGCGGAGUUAAACAUCAUUGUGUUGAGUAUGUUUACUGAAAUCUCCUACUUCUUGUCAUGUUGGAGAUACCUUUAGUUUUUUCAGAAUGAGGCUAAUGUUAACUCAGAAUGAGGCUAAUAUUAACUCAGAGCGAAGCUACAUACAUGGUCUUUUAACCCAUUUAUUCCAAAAGUCACAUUUAAACCAUACCAAAUCAAAGACUGGGCAAGUCCAUUUUAAAAAUGUAGGGUGAAUGGGUUAAGAAUGAGGCUUAUGUUAACUUAAAGUGAGGCUUCAGACAUCCCAGAAUGAGGCUUAGAUAAGGUGAGCAAUUUGUUUGGGAAGCAAGUGUUCUAAAUAAGGGAGUUGUUAGGAUGAAGGCGUUCCUUGUAGUAGGUGUGGCGUAAAGGAGAAAGGUGGUUACAGAAGAGUGGUGUCUGUCGGAAAGUGGUCAUGGUCGAACAUUUCCAUUAAGUGUGUGGCUAGUAUAUAUGUUUUAAAUGUUAUCAGCUGUUCAUUUAUAUUCUAACUUAUGCAUUUGUUUCCCCUAUCUUCUGUUUUAAAUCAUUCUCUAAUGCUAGUGACCAUGUUUAUCCGUGAUAGUAAGUAAGGGUUGUGAGCAUGGAGUGAGAGAAAGACAGAGCAAGACAGAGGGAGAAAGACGGAAGAAUGGAGUGCAGCAUAAAUUAUAUGUUUAAUGUCAUUUUAAGCGAUGCAUUGUCACAAUUGUUCUAUUUGAGGGAUUUUUUUUCUGUAUUUUAAGUCAUUUAAUAGUAAAAUGUCUGUCCUCUACAAGAUGAACUGUGCUGAAUUAAUAUACAUUUGUUGUACAGUCUGUACAGCGUCUCUCUAUAUCUGUACAGUGUAUAUAACUAGUUACAUUGCCUGUGUACAAUACGUCUUCUUCCAACACCCAUCUGACCCGACUAAUUUACGGAUGUGUGUCGACUUAUGUUACUUGACAGGUAUGUUUCUACGAAUAGCACACAGCUGACGUGUUAAUGUAAAUGCUGUGCAUCUACGAUAUCACAACCCUCGUACGACAACUUGACAAAGAUGUGUCUACAAAUACCUGAUAUACUGUUCUAUAAAUAGAUCGCCCUUCCAGUGCUAAACAAAUCUCAUUUGUCUGUAAAUUACCUGUUAGACGGAGUGUGAGUCAGUUUUGAAGAUUUAAGUCUGAACUAUAUAUCGGAUGCGUUGAAGCUGUGCUUAUGUGACAUAUAUUGUGUCUUAAACGACGUGUUGUUUCUCCAGCGAAAUUUUGUACCGGCGACUGUACUAAGCUGUAAUCAGGAAAACCUUAAGAACAGUCUAUCACUGAUGACUUUACGGUCUUCAACAUAUGCUGGUUUACCUCAUUCACCCCUGAUGACACAUUUAAACUCUUCCAACCUUGGAAUAGUUCAUUAUGAAAUUUCAGGGGUGAAUAAGUUAAUAUCAUUCUUGAGAUAUACACAACUUGCUGAUUUCAAUGAGAACUGUUAUUUGACUGAUUCAGGUUUUUAUGUAGAAAUUCCUAGGCUUGUGUUCUUUUCUGUUCCUGCAGCGUGAGCGUACACACACACAUACACAGAUUUCAUACCGGUCAGGACUUGUGUUCUCUGGUCAAACUCUUCCACACACACAACAUUCUAGUAUCAAUUGUCCAAUUAACCCUUUCACCACUGUAGACCAUAAUGGACUCAUCCAUAUCAAUACAUGGUAGAGUCUACUAAAGUUACAUAGGGGUUAAAGGGUUAAGCUUUCCUUUUCAGCUUCCCAACCCAUAUAUGACAGUAACUGGUGGCCCCACAAAAGUUUCACACACACAUUUUAAGCCAAAACAAUGUUAUUCACUCACCAGAAAAUACCCUGCAUGUGCAUAAGAAUGACUAAAUCGUUCUAUAGCACAGAUCACAGAGACUUUAAAUUCAAGUAACAGCAAACAAAAGCAACAGUAAAGUUAUGCACUUUCCCCAAUCCCCUUUAAAAAAAUGAUUAAAACCUAAUGCACACACACAUAUCACAGCCCCCACAAAUCCAGGCCAGUAUACUGCGGUUAACAGAGGCUGUGUGGCCCGUACUGAUGUGUACAGAGGAUGCCAAGCCAGUACCACCAGUACUGGUUUGGGCAGAGACAGUCUGGCCAAUACUGGUGUUGCAACUCCCGCUGAGGGCACAGUCUUGUCUGGCCAGUACACUGGUGUGAGCGGAUGCUUAUGACAGGCCAGUACUUAUGUCGUAGGUGGCUGCCUAGCUAGUACUGGUGUGAGCGGACGCUGCCAGGCUAGUACCAAUGUCGUAGGUGGCUGCCUAGCUAGUACUGGCGUGAGCGGACGCUGACAGGCUAGUACCAAUGUCGUAGGUGGCUGCCUGGCUAGUACUGGUGUGAGAGGACGCUGACAGGCCAGUACUAAUGUCGUAGGUGGCUGCCUAGCCAGUACUGGUGUGGGCAGAGGCUGCCUGGCCAGUAGUAGUGUUGGUGGAAGCUGUUGGCCACAUUACCGGUGUCCGUGGAGACUGCCUGGCAUGUACCAGUGUUAGUGGGGUCCUUCUGGCCAGUACCAAUGUCUGUGGAGACUGCUUGGCAUGUACCAGUGUUGGUGGGGUCCUUCUGGCCAGUACCAAUGUCUGUGGAGACUGCCUGGCAUGUACCAGUGUUAGUGGGGUCCUUCUGGCCAGUACCAAUGUCUGUGGAGACUGCCUGGCCUGUACCAGUGUUGGUGGGGUCCUGCUGGUCAGUACUGGUUCAAUUUGGGCGGAGGUUGUUUAGUUAUCCCUGUGUUGUAUAUAUAUUAUAUAUAUUGUGUAUGUAGUAAGUGCUUGUGCCCUACGUGGCUCCUUCCUGUUGUAUAUAGAACUAUUAUAGUGUAUCUACUGUAAUUUAAACUCUUCUGAAUGCAUUCAGGAACUUGUUGGAUAUUUUGCAAACUAGAGAAGAAAGAAUGAGCAUGUUUAUAAACAAGCUUGCUUCUGUCAUUCUGUAACUUAAUCAUGAAUGGCUGCAAUCAUGGAAAAGUAUUCUAAUAAAAGUUAAAAACUA
rnacentral:misc_RNA from 1 species